AUUUACCCUAAUCGGAAUCGUGACGUAGAACUGACCUUCAUUCAUAUUUAUUACUCAUUGCGUAUUUGCCAUUUAAAUACCUGAAGGAUUUCCCAGUACUAGGGACAAGCCUAAUACAUUUUAUGUGUCAAUACAUUAUACAUGUAGUCUAAAGAUAAUUUUUGAAAUCGUGAAAAUUAAAUUGUCUUCUUUUAUUCUGAGUAUCAGAUAUGUAUACGGUUACAUGUUACGAGUGUAUCAAAUAUUUAGUAUAUGCUAUACUACUAUCCAAAAGCUCUUAUACUCGUAUGUAUUAUUUUCUACAACCAACACUUGGCAACUGUACAUGAGUCUGGCCUCAAAACAAAAUCGUAUUGGAAGUUUAAUACGUAUGCAGUUUCAGUCCCAGACUAGUGUACUGCAGGGUGGGAAAAUAACCUCGAAUCCAAGUAGUAAUUCAAUACUUUAUUAUGGUUAUGGCUUCACAAGAGGUAAAAGACUGAAAUUAAAUAUAAACCACAAAUAAAUUCCUACACAAAAGGAAUUCCUGAUUUAGAAAAACACUUAUUACUCAUAAAUUUGAUAAUUUCACCUAACUGACUUUGGCAACAAUAUGAUUUGACAAAUCUAAACAGUAUAAAAGAUUCCUAGGUAAAUUUAACAAUGAAUAUCUACUAUAUUUUCAAAGUAAACAAUCGUUUAACGCCUAACCCGAAUUUUCUCACCUAUGUUUCAAGAAUUAUCGAACACGUGCUUGGCAUUACUAAAUUAUACAAAAACAUAUAUAAAUGCAUUUAGAUCAGUGUUCUAAUGAAAACUUACAUCGGUGUGGCACCUCAAAGGAUUGAAAAAGAACAAAUUUUCAGUAAAGGUAGCAGCCCCGCUGCAUUGACAAAGUCCCGGACAUAAAGUGCUAAUCCCGUAUGGACCUGUAAAAAUUGAUUCAACAUAGCAAUUUGCUACUGGAAUACAUCUAAACUCAAGCUGUUUAACGGUUAUUUACCUUGUUGGGUCUUAAAGUUUUUCUUCCAAAGCUUUGCAAAAUUCACAACGGUUUUUCGUAAAAGGCACCAUGCCUUUGUCAACAACUUUCAUUCAGAAAAACAUACAAGUUCUCGUUAGCAGCCUUGACUAUUAAAACACAGAUAUUGCAUGCUGUAUUCGGCGUGUUUGUGGAGAGUCCUAUUCACAAACUAAACAGUGUCCAGGUUGGAAGCUUAUUUCAAACUCAGAACAUGGUAAUAAACAGAGAUUUGACAUGAAACUUUUAUAAAAAAAAAAAAAAAAAAGAAAAAAAAAAAAAAAAAAAAAAAAGAAACAACAACAACUAGAAGCGUGUUUCAAUUAAGAAGGAAAAAAAAUCCACAUUGUAUAUGGAAAAGGAAUAUCCCAAAAAAAAAUAAAUAAAAAAUGUGUUCGUGAGGGAGUCGAACCCGGUCGUUUUAAAAAUAGAAAACAUCUUUACAUAUAAUAGUCGACUACCUAAUCCACUGAACCACGCUGUAGACCAUACACACCUAAGGAAAAUUAACGUACAGGUGAAGUUGAAAAUAAUACCAGUGAAGUCGUUUCGAUUUUUUUAAAUUUACAAAAAAAUGCCCUCGUGAAACAAAAUUUCAAAGCGACAGUUUUUUAGAGGAAAACUCGAAGUACAUGCUCAUGCUGAAUUUAUUUUGUUUCAUGGAGGCAGUUUUUCUGAAAUUCGGGGAUACCCUUUAAUUUCAACGCUAAAAAUCAUAUAAAUCGCUUAUUGCUUUAUUUAAACUCGAAAUAUUUUGGCUAAUUUUGUCAAUACAUGUCUUUUCAACUUAUUUUCAAAAAUUAUUGAAUCAAGACAAAUGUUCCAAUUGGUUUUAUCAUAUAUUUGAAUAACUUAAAAUUUUCGAUCUUUCAUGAAACACCUUUAGGGAAAUUAACAUGAGACGUGUAACACGUACCUUCUUUCUGGAUACAAUGAUUAUAGGUCACUAUAUUUUCGAAAUAAUCUUACAAGAUUUUUUCCCCGCGGAAGGGGGGGGGGGUCUGAAAUGUGUUAUUGUCUGCUGCAGUUCCAUAGAAUUUGCUCUUGCAAAACAAUAUAAAAUUUACUACUUUUGUAAGUAUUGAAGUUUCAAUUUCAUUUUACAUCUAGACGAAUAUUAAUUUUCAUACUUUGCUAAUUAAAUCGCUGUUUAUAUCGGUCAAGAGCUUUGUUGAUAAUAUAUUUUGUAUGAUACAGCCUUAUUUGACUGGGAAUGGUGGACUGUAAUCUAGCUACUUGGAGGUCAAAGUAUCAUAACGAGUUCCGGAAUCCGCAUCAUUUCUAAAAUUUAUAGAUCCGCGCCUUAAACUCAGUCGUAACCAUUCGACCAUUUCCGGAAAUCGUUUUAGCAACGUUAAUUGUGCGCAUGCGGCUUUCUAGACGUUCCGUCCCAUAAUCAAUCCGUCCCUUAGUCGAUUCGUCCCAUUACCAAUCCGUCCCUAGACUAUCCGUCCCUUAGUUAAUACGUCUCCUAGUCGAUCCGGCCCAGAAAAAAAAAUGAUAUUUUUCAAGUGCUAUUUACAGUACUGAAUUGAUUUAAUUCAUCUGCGUAUUUCAUCUUCAUGGUGUGUGUGCCGCUGAUAUCUUCUGUCAUCAGGUAGUCAUCCUUUAAUAUGCUCUAUGGUAUUUAUGGCUUGAUUGCAGACUAAUUAACCUUGAUCACACGUAAUGUAUAUUAAUCUUCUUGAGACUGUUUAUCAUAACAAAUGUCUCCUCUUUUAAAAACAAGAAAAACAUACUUUGCCAAAGCAUUUAAGGUAUUUGUUCCUCCAUAUUGAAAUAAGUUCCCAAAAAGAAGAGAUGUUUUGAUAUUUGACAGCUUUUUCUAAAAUCAUUAUACACAUCACAAUAUUCGAUAAAGUGGGCUUAAUUUUCCAUACAAAGAAUACCUUUUGUUUUUAAACAAAAUUUACAUACUCUGUCAUUUCUUGAAAUAUUUCUACACCUGUCACAUUCUAUUUCCAAAUCAUGAGAAAUUCUUUGAACUUCUGGAGUUAAAAAAAACAACAACCAAAAACUUCUAAUAGUUAGGUUACUGUAAGCUCGUAAUUAAUUAUCAAAGGUUGCACAACAAUGCAGUUAUAAAAACUGUUUUCACUAAGGUGUUUUCAAUGAUCAGUGGACAUGGGACACACAUUUACAUUGAUUGCUAUACAUAGUUGAAUAACGAUGUUUUUACAAUAAUUAAUGAGCACACAUUUUUAUAACCAUCACACUUUAAACAAAAAUUAUAAAUCCUAGUUAAGAGUUGUAUAAACGAUUUUAUUCACACGUCUAACUUCGGCAGUUAUCUAAUUUUGAUAACUAUAACUGCAAUAUAUAUGCAAAAACUUCCCUUUUUCUUAAGUAAUAAUCAUUUAUUAUAUCUUUGAUUUAAAAAAAAUGGAGGGGCCAGAUCGACUAAGCAAAUGGGGCCGAAUCGACCAUGGGACGGACCGUCUAGGGACGGAUCGACUAGGGGGACGGAACGACCUACUACUGCGCAUGCGCAGUGAAGGAGCACGCGGAGAGGAGAGGAAGAGAGAAGGGCAGACAUUUUAAAAGAGAGCAAAAAUGAGUUACGGAAGAGGACCUCCCGAAAUUGAUGGAAUGUCUUCAUUGAAAGUUGAUAAUUUAACGUACAGAACAACACCAGAAGAUUUACGAAGGGCAUUUGACAAGUACGGUGAUGUUGGAGAUGUUUACAUUCCACGGGACCGAUUCACCCGUGAAAGCAGGGGAUUUGCGUUUGUUAGAUUCUAUGACAAAAGGGAUGCCGAGGAUGCGCUGGACUCCAUGGACGGCGCGAUCAUGGACGGUCGAGAGUUGAGGGUGCAGAUGGCUAGAUACGGACGACCUUCUGAGCCUUACAGGAGAGGGCCUCCGAGACGUAGCAGUGGAUAUCGUUCAAGAAACAGGUCAAGAUCUAGGUCGCGUUCCAGAUCUAGACGCCGAUCCAGGUCUAGAUCCAGACGAAGGAGCAGACGUUCCAGGAGUAGGUCGUACAGCAGGUCAAGGAGUAGGAGUAACAGCAAGAGCCCAAGCAGAAGCCGAUCACGAAGCAAAUCGGCAUCUCGUUCUCCUAACAGAAAUGAUGACGGCCAGCGGGAGGAAGACUGAGGGCCAUUUGGUGGUGUUAAGGCCAACUGUGUGCAUCGUGAAACUUGACUGCAUGACUGAGACAUGUGCAGUUUAUCUCUUGAUAUACUCCUGUGCAAAAAAAAAGGAGUAAGUAAGCGGUAUGCAGGUCACUGCUUGUGCUGUGAGGUAGCAGUAGUGCUGUGCAGUUGCAGUAAUGUGCUGUAGCGGUCUGGUGGUGCAGUAAUGCAGUGGGAGACAGCCCCACGUCAGGCUGUUACUGAGUGCAGAUGGUUCAGUGGGUGGGGGGCAGUUGAAUUAUUAAGGGGACAAAUAAUUGUUCAAGUGUAUGGAAAUAAAAUCUCAUUGUAUACAGGAUAA